GUCCACGCCCUAAACUAUGGACACUAAGUGUCGGCGGGUUACCGCCGGUGCCGCAGCUAACGCAUUAAGUGUCCCGCCUGGGAAGUACGGCCGCAAGGUUGAAACUCAAAGGAAUUGACGGGGGCCCGCACAAGCGGUGGAGCAUGUGGUUCAAUUCGACGCAACGCGAAGAACCUUACCCAGGUUGGACAUGCACGUAGUAAGACCCUGAAAGGGGGAUGAGCCUGAAAGGGCAGCGUGCUCAGGUGCUGCAUGGCUGUCGU
rnacentral:rRNA from 1 species